rnacentral:rRNA from 2 species
ACGGGGGGUGCUAGCGUUGUUCGGAAUCAUUGGGCGUAAAGAGCGUGUAGGCGGCUGGAUAAGUCAGAUGUGAAAGCCCUGGGCUUAACCCAGGAAGUGCAUUUGAAACUGUUCAGCUUGAGUAAGGGAGAGGAAAGUGGAAUUCCUGGUGUAGAGGUGAAAUUCGUAGAUAUCAGGAGGAACACCGGUGGCGAAGGCGACUUUCUGGCCCUAUACUGACGCUGAGACGCGAGAGCGUGGGUAGCAAACAG